rnacentral:rRNA from 1 species
GACGAACGCUGGCGGCGUGCUUAACACAUGCAAGUCGAACGGAAAGGCCCUGCUUUUGUGGGGUGCUCGAGUGGCGAACGGGUGAGUAACACGUGAGUAACCUGCCCUUGACUUUGGGAUAACUUCAGGAAACUGGGGCUAAUACCGGAUAGGAGCUCCUGCUGCAUGGUGGUGGUUGGAAAGUUUCGGCGGUUGGGGAUGGACUCGCGGCUUAUCAGCUUGUUGGUGGGGUAGUGGCUUACCAAGGCUUUGACGGGUAGCCGGCCUGAGAGGGUGACCGGCCACAUUGGGACUGAGAUACGGCGCAGACUCCUACGGGACGCAGCAGUGGGGAAUAUUGCACAGUGGGCGGAAGCCUGAGGCAGCAACGCCGCGUGCGGGAUGACGGCCUACGGGUUGUAAACCGAUUUCGCCUGUGACGAAGCGUGAGUGACGGUAAUGGGUAAAGAAGCACCGGCUAACUACGUG